rnacentral:rRNA from 1 species
AUGGUCCCUAAUGGUAAUGGAAACCUCAAAGCUGAUACUCAACAAGUAGAGUCAAAGACAUCAGAAAAUGAUCCCGGAGUCACAGAUGUCAACAGUCUUUCCACUCAAAAUGUUUCAAAACAGGGAAAUCAACGGAGUGGGUGCCUCAACUUUGUGAAUCGCUUUUCUAGUGGUGCCCACUUUAAGAAGCUGGGUCCUUCUCCUUCAGUCAAGUUUCGACAGCUUGCACUUCAGCGUGAUGAUUUUUCACGUUCAAUCCAUUCUGACAACCAUGACAAUCACGAACAUUUUCGAUUAAUCAGGAAAAUUAACUGGGGUCAUCUGUGGGCAAUGGGCAAGGAUUGGAUAAGGCAGCCCCUUAACAUGGCCCUUUUUGUCUGGAUUGCUGUUGUUUCUGUAUCUGGUGCAAUACUCUUCAUGGUUAUGACCGGGAUGCUGAAUCAUGCUUUGCCUAGCAAAUCAGAAAGAGACGCCUGGUUUGAAGUGAACAACCAAAUUUUGAAUGCAUUAUUCACACUCAUGUGCCUUUACCAACACCCGAUGCGGAUCUAUAACUUUGUGCUCUUGUGUCGAUGGGACCAAAAGGACAUUUUAAGGCUUAGGAAAGAAUACUGCAAAAAUGGGACAUAUAAGCCUAAUGAGUGGAUGCACAUGAUGGUGGUUGUGGUCUUUCUUAAUCUGAACUGCUUCGCCCAGUAUGCCUUGUGUGGUCUCAACAUAGGGUACCGCAGAUCUGAAAGGCCUCCCCUUGGUGUCGCCGUGACUAUUUCUUUUGCAUUUGGGGCUGCGUUAUUCGCUAGUGUGUAUAACAUUGUGAGUCCUCUUGGGAAGGAUUAUGAUGCAGAGCUGAGAGAAGGUGAUCCAGAAGCACAAGCCGGGGUCACAUCAACUGAAGGCGCCAGGCCAGCAACUUCAGGGAGGUCACUUGAGAGAAGAUACUCUUUUCUUCAAAGCGACGAGCGCCGUUUCGUGGAGAGCAGGCCUGAGUGGGUCGGCGGGCUAUCAGAUUUCUGGGACAGCAUAACCAUUGCAUACUUGUCAAUUUUCUGCAGCUGCUGUGUUUUCGGGUGGAAUGUUCAGAGGCUUGGGUUCGGCAACAUGUACGUCCACAUUGCAACAUUCCUGCUCUUUUGCCUGGCUCCGUUCUUCAUCUUCAACCUGGCAGCAGUCAACAUCAACAACGAAACCCUGCGAGAGGCGCUGGGGCUCACCGGCAUCGCGCUGUGCUUCUUCGGUUUGCUGUACGGCGGCUUCUGGAGAAUACAGAUGAGGAAGAGAUUCAACCUCCCUGGGAACCCCUUCUGCUGCCGUAACCCCGACGUCACGGACUGCUUCCAGUGGCUGUGCUGCUGCUCGUGCUCUCUCGCUCAGGAGGUGAGGACCGCUGAUUACUAUGACAUUGCAGAGGAGAGGUCGUACAGAGGGCAGGUAAAUGGGGAGAGUCAGCGUGUGAUGUCCCCAUUGGCUCGUGAAGACGGUCUGCCGCUUUUCAAGUCAACUCCAGCCUCGCCGUACAGGAGCAGCACAGGCACGGCUAGUCAGUCCAUUUUCAUCAUGGAGAGCCCAUCAGCUCCGCGGAGGUCGUCCGGUGCGACCCCUCCCGGUUCUUCUCCGGCAAACGGCGGCGACAGGGCGAUGAAGGCGCCUGCUCCAUCUGUCUUACACAGAGAAGGUGAAGAUGAAUCGUAG